GGACCUUCCUGGUUCACCUGUGUUUGAGAUGGACUAGGUUCUGCACUUGUGUAUAUGUUCCAGGACCUUGGCCUUUCAGAACUGAACUCAUUCAUAUCUACUUUUCACAAUACAGAGAACCAAUAUGAUUGCAGAAAGCGAUGCAUAGGAGGAGGAUGAUAUCAGAUAUCGCAAUGUGAACAAACACAGAUUGAUGAACAGAAAAACGAUGAUAUCAGAUAUCGCAAUGUGAACAAACACAGAUUGAUGAACAGAAAAACCCACAAUAUGAAACGAGAAAAUCAUAUGGUUUUAAGGUGUUACCUGCGAAGAGUGAUCACAACAGCAAAGCAGCAACGCUGUCAAUCACGGUCAUAUCUUCCCGUUUUCUAUGGUGGGAGUUCAAACAAGAACAACACAGAAUGGUUCUUUCUUUCUUAAUCCCAGAUUUCUUAUUCCAAAGGGUUUCCUGUCAAGGAAGAAACAGACAGACACAUUGGCACCAAAUGUAGUAUUAUUGAAGGUUGCAGCUCAGCUCAGCCUAGACACCUUUAUUAUACCUAGCACAAAUGUAAAGACAAAGUUAAAUUAUGUAAUCUCAGUAGUAUAUACUUUUUGUUU